rnacentral:misc_RNA from 1 species
UGUGGGAGCGAGCCUGCUCGCGAUGGCGGUGUAUCAGUUGCUGGAUUGCUGACUGAUACUCCGCCAUCGCGAGCAGGCUCGCUCCCACA